CUUUAUUGGGCCUAUGAAUAAGUUGGGCCCAUUACACGAGUUUCUAGGGUUUUGCUGCAUUUAAGGGAGUAAGCUGAGAAAGACGAACAGAAUCUCCGCCGCUCCUUCUCAUUUUCUGAAAUCGAAAACACUAACAGAAGAGGGAAAGUGCACAUCAUCUGUCGAAACCAGGAUGAGAGCUAAGUGGAAGAAGAAGCGUAUGAGGAGGUUGAAGAGGAAGAGACGAAAGAUGAGACAGCGAUCUAAGUAGUUUCGGAGCGCCUGCUUUUGUCUUUUCUCUCUUUUGAAACCAAACAUUUGUGAGAGUUUUGUUGGUUUCUCUAUCUGAAUUUGAAUGUUUUUUUUUGUUUGGACCAAAUAGAAGCUAUGUUUUCUAUCAGGAUUAUGUUUUAUUACAUGAAAGGAUCCACGUGGGUUCUCGAUUUAAUACUUUAUUUUCUACAA